ACAAUGGAGAGUUUGAUCCUGGCUCAGGAUGAACGCUAGCUACAGGCUUAACACAUGCAAGUCGAGGGGAAACGACAUCGAAAGCUUGCUUUUGAUGGGCGUCGACCGGCGCACGGGUGAGUAACGCGUAUCCAACCUGCCCACCACUUGGGAAUAACCUUGCGAAAGUAAGACUAAUGCCCAAUGAUAUCUCUAGAAGACAUCUGAAAGAGAUUAAAGAUUUAUCGGUGAUGGAUGGGGAUGCGUCUGAUUAGCUUGUUGGCGGGGUAACGGCCCACCAAGGCGACGAUCAGUAGGGGUUCUGAGAGGAAGGUCCCCCACAUUGGAACUGAGACACG
rnacentral:rRNA from 1 species